AUAAAAUUGCGCACUGGCUCUUUAAGGCAAAGCACGUGAUGGCCCGUACCUCCAAAGCGGAAGACGAUGGGGAAAAUUGGGAAAUUGCCGAGGAUACUUUCUCUCUUUGUGUUUUUAAAAGGACAGCGAUUGCUUUUCGUUAGGCUACUGUUGUCGUCGAGAGCAUUCUAUAAACGUCAGGACUUCUUGAAAAUGAGUUGGGUAGAGAUUCAAACGGCUUACAAUUUGGAAGAUCUUCCCGGGAAGGGAUGAUAAAAAAACUGAACAAGGGAUCUUGCUACAAUAUAGAGGCUUAGCAGUACUUGAAUAAGCAGUAGAAAAUCUUAGGCUCUUCUCCAAAGGAAUUGUGAUGGUAGAAAAUAUAUGCCUCUGAUAACCUAGAUUCAUAUUGGAGUAGUUAGUCCUUGACUUAUGACCACAAUAGAGCCCAAAUUUUUGUUGCUAAACAAGACAGGACAACUGAAAUACAAAGGAUUUUAUCAAAUAACAAAACCAGUAACUUACUGCAUGUAGACAGGAAUCAAAUUAGCCAUGUUAGACUUACACCUAUACCAAGAUAUUGAUCUACCUCAUAAUACCUUCAAUGGCUAAGACCAUUAGCGUACACCAUUUAGACAAACACCAUUAGGUCGAAUAUUUUGUGCAUUAAAAAUAUAAAAAGCUUCAGUACUGAAAAGAACCAUCUGCUUUUUAAAAUAUUAAAGACAAUUUUCAGCAAAUCUCAGUAACUGCUAAACAUCAGUAUUUUCAGUAGUCUCAAAAGUAUAUGACAUCUUAUAAAUUUAAUGUAUUAAAUAAACCCAUUUUCUUUAUCAAGACUCUUAUCCAUGCAGACUUCAUGACUUCAACUUUCUAUUAUUCUCUUCCUAUCCUAUCUGAGUUUUAUAAUAUAUUGCCUCAUAAAAAGAUCUUGAAUGUUUAUCUUUGGAUGGUCCACAUAUCUAUAUCUAAGAGUUUUUGAGGCUGACUUACUGAUUUUACCCAAUUUACUUACUGAUUUUGAGUUAAGUUAAACUUAAUUAUACAAUAUUAUUUUCAAUAUAAUAUUUUAACUUUUCCUUAGAAGUUAACAAUAAUAUUU